GAUGAACGCUGGCGGCGUGCCUAAUACAUGCAAGUCGAGCGAACAGACGAGGAGCUUGCUCCUCUGACGUUAGCGGCGGACGGGUGAGUAACACGUGGAUAACCUACCUAUAAGACUGGGAUAACUUCGGGAAACCGGAGCUAAUACCGGAUAAUAUAUUGAACCGCAUGGUUCAAUAGUGAAAGACGGUUUUGCUGUCACUUAUAGAUGGAUCCGCGCCGCAUUAGAUAGUUGGUAAGGUAACGGCUUACCAAGGCAACGAUGCGUAGCCGACCUGAGAGGGUGAUCGGCCACACUGGAACUGGGACGCGGUCCAGACUCCUACGGGAGGCAGCAGUAGGGAAUCUUCCGCAAUGGGCGAAAGCCUGACGGAGCAACGCCGCGUGAGUGAUGAAGGUCUUCGGAUCGUAAAGCUCUGUUAUUGGGGAAGAACAAAUGUGUAAGUAACUAUGCACGUCUUGACGGUAACUAAUCAGAAAGCCACGGCUAACUACGUG
rnacentral:rRNA from 1 species